AUUGAACGCUGGCGGCAGGCCUAACACAUGCAAGUCGAGCGGAUGACGGGAGCUUGCUCCUUGAUUCAGCGGCGGACGGGUGAGUAAUGCCUAGGAAUCUGCCUGGUAGUGGGGGACAACGUUUCGAAAGGAACGCUAAUACCGCAUACGUCCUACGGGAGAAAGCAGGGGACCUUCGGGCCUUGCGCUAUCAGAUGAGCCUAGGUCGGAUUAGCUAGUUGGUGGGGUAAUGGCUCACCAAGGCGACGAUCCGUAACUGGUCUGAGAGGAUGAUCAGUCCCACUGGAACUGAGACACGGUCCAGACUCCUACGGGAGGCAGCAGUUGGGAAUAUUGGACAAUGGGCGAAAGCCUGAUCCAGCCAUGCCGCGUGUGUGAAGAAGGUCUUCGGAUUGUAAAGCACUUUAAGUUGGGAGGAAGGGCAGUAAGUUAAUACCUUGCUGUUUUGACGUUACCGACAGAAUAAGCACCGGCUAACUCUGUGCCAGCCGCCGCAGUAACAC
rnacentral:rRNA from 1 species